GAUGAACGCUGGCGGCGUGCCUAAUACAUGCAAGUCGAGCGAACGGACGAGAAGCUUGCUUCUCUGAUGUUAGCGGCGGACGGGUGAGUAACACGUGGAUACCCUACUUAUAAGAGUGGGAUAACUUCGGGAAACCGGAGAUAAUACCGGAUGAUAUUUUGAACCGCAUGGUUCAAAAGUGAAAGACGGUGUUGCUGUCACUUAUAGAUGGACACGCGCUGCAUGAGCUAGUUGGUAAGGAAACGGCUUACCAAGGCCACGAUGCAUAGCCGACCUGAGAGGGUGAUCGGCCACGCUAGAACGGAGACACGGUCCAGACUCCUGCGGGAGGCAGCAGUAGGGAAGCUUCCGCAAUGGGCGAAAGCCUGACGGAGCAACGCCGCGUGAGUGAUGAAGGUCUUCGGAUCGUAAAACUCUGUUAUGAGGGAAGAACAUAUGUGUAAGUAACUGUGCACAUCUUGACGGUACCUAAUCAAAAAGCCACGGCUAACUACGUG
rnacentral:rRNA from 1 species